rnacentral:rRNA from 1 species
UAGGGAAUCUUCCGCAAUGGACGCAAGUCUGACGGAGCAACGCCGCGUGAGUGAAGAAGGAUUUCGGUUCGUAAAACUCUGUUGUUAGAGAAGAACAGCGCAUAGAGUAACUGUUAUGCGUGUGACGGUAUCUAACCAGAAAGGGACGGCUAACUACGUGCCAGCAGCCGCGGUAAUACGUAGGUCCCGAGCGUUGUCCGGAUUUAUUGGGCGUAAAGCGAGCGCAGGCGGUUAGAAAAGUCUGAAGUGAAAGGCUGUGGCUCAACCAUUGUAGGCUUUGGAAACUGUUUAACUUGAGUGCAGAAGGGGAGAGUGGAAUUCCAUGUGUAGCGGUGAAAUGCGUAGAUAUAUGGAGGAACACCGGUGGCGAAAGCGGCUCUCUGGUCUGUAACUGACGCUGAGGCUCGAAAGCGUGGGGAGCGAACAGG